ACGAUCCCUAGCUGGUCUGAGAGGAUGAUCAGCCACACUGGAACUGAGACACGGUCCAGACUCCUACGGGAGGCAGCAGUGGGGAAUAUUGCACAAUGGGCGCAAGCCUGAUGCAGCCAUGCCGCGUGUGUGAAGAAGGCCUUCGGGUUGUAAAGCACUUUCAGUCGUGAGGAAGGUAGUGUAGUUAAUAGCUGCAUUAUUUGACGUUAGCGACAGAAGAAGCACCGGCUAACUCCGUGCCAGCAGCCGCGGUAAUACGGAGGGUGCGAGCGUUAAUCGGAAUUACUGGGCGUAAAGCGCAUGCAGGUGGUUUGUUAAGUCAGAUGUGAAAGCCCGGGGCUCAACCUCGGAAUUGCAUUUGAAACUGGCAGACUAGAGUACUGUAGAGGGGGGUAGAAUUUCAGGUGUAGCGGUGAAAUGCGUAGAGAUCUGAAGGAAUACCGGUGGCGAAGGCGGCCCCCUGGACAGAUACUGACACUCAGAUGCGAAAGCGUGGGGAGCAAACAGGAUUAGAUACCCUGGUAGUCCACGCCGUAAACGAUGUCUACUUGGAGGUUGUGGCCUUGAGCCGUGGCUUUCGGAGCUAACGCGUUAAGUAGACCGCCUGGGGAGUACGGUCGCAAGAUUAAAACUCAAAUGAAUUGACGGGGGCCCGCACAAGCGGUGGAGCAUGUGGUUUAAUUCGAUGCAACGCGAAGAACCUUACCUACUCUUGACAUCCAGAGAACUUUCCAGAGAUGGAUUGGUGCCUUCGGGAACUCUGAGACAGGUGCUGCAUGGCUGUCGUCAGCUCGUGUUGUGAAAUGUUGGGUUAAGUCCCGCAACGAGCGCAACCCUUAUCCUUGUUUGCCAGCGAGUAAUGUCGGGAACUCCAGGGAGACUGCCGGUGAUAAACCGGAGGAAGGUGGGGACGACGUCAAGUCAUCAUGGCCCUUACGAGUAGGGCUACACACGUGCUACAAUGGCGCAUACAGAGGGCGGCCAACUUGCGAAAGUGAGCGAAUCCCAAAAAGUGCGUCGUAGUCCGGAUUGGAGUCUGCAACUCGACUCCAUGAAGUCGGAAUCGCUAGUAAUCGUGGAUCAGAAUGCCACGGUGAAUACGUUCCCGGGCCUUGUACACACCGCCCGUCACACCAUGGGAGUGGGCUGCAAAAGAAGUAGGUAGUUUAACCUUCGGGGGGACGCUUACCACUUUGUGGUUCAUGACUGGGGUGAAGUCGUAACAAGGUAGCGCUAGGGGAACCUGGCGCUGGAUCACCUCCUUA
rnacentral:rRNA from 1 species